UGUCUGAGAGGUGAUGCAUAGCCGAGUGAGGCGAAUUCGGUGAUCCUAUGCUGCCAAGAAAAGCCUCUAGCGAGUGCGCACACGGCCCGUACCCCAAACCAACACAGGUGGUCAGGUAGAGAAUACCAAGGCGUACGAGUGAACUAUGGUUAAGGAACUCGGCAAAAUACCCCCGUAACUUCGGGAGAAGGGGGACCCCCUGCGGUCAAGGCCCACGCGGCCGGCAGCGGCGGGGGGUGGCACAAACCAGUGAGAAGCGACUGUUUACUAAAAACACAGGUCCGUGCGAAGUCGCAAGACGAUGUAUACGGACUGACGCCUGCCCGGUGCUGGAAGGUUAAGAGGACCCGUUAACCCCUCGGGGUGAAGCGGAGAAUUUAAGCCCCAGUAAACGGCGGUGGUAACUAUAACCAUCCUAAGGUAGCGAAAUUCCUUGUCGGGUAAGUUCCGACCUGCACGAAUGGCGUAACGACUUCUCAACUGUCUCAACCAUAGACUCGGCGAAAUUGCACUACGAGUAAAGAUGCUCGUUACGCGCGGCAGGACGAAAAGACCCCGGGACCUUCACUAUAGCUUGGUAUUGGCGUUCGAUACGGUUUGUGUAGGAUAGGUGGGAGACUAUGAAACUCACACGCCAGUGUGGGUGGAGUCGUUGUUGAAAUACCACUCUGAUCGUAUUGGACUUCUAACCUCGAACCGUCUAUCCGGUUCAGGGACAGUGCCUGGUGGGUAGUUUAACUGGGGCGGUUGCCUCCUAAAAUGUAACGGAGGCGCCCAAAGGUUCCCUCAACCUGGACGGCAAUCAGGUGUUGAGUGCAAGUGCACAAGGGAGCUUGACUGCAAGACGGACAUGUCAAGCAGGGACGAAAGUCGGGACUAGUGAUCCGGCACCCCCGAGUGGAAGGGGUGUCGCUCAACGGAUAAAAGGUACCCCGGGGAUAACAGGCUGAUCUUCCCCAAGAGUCCAUAUCGACGGGAUGGUUUGGCACCUCGAUGUCGGCUCGUCGCAUCCUGGGGCUGGAGCAGGUCCCAAGGGUUGGGCUGUUCGCCCAUUAAAGCGGCACGCGAGCUGGGUUUAGAACGUCGUGAGACAGUUCGGUCUCUAUCCGCCGCGCGCGUCAGAAGCUUGAGGAAACCUGUCCCUAGUACGAGAGGACCGGGACGGACGAACCUCUGGUCCACCAGUUGUCCCACCAGGGGCACCGCUGGAUAGCCACGUUCGGACAGGAUAACCGCUGAAAGCAUCUAAGCGGGAAACCUUCUCCAAGACCAGGCUUCUCACCCAUCAAGUGGGAUAAGGCCCCCCGCAGACCACGGGAUCGAUAGACCAGACCUACACACCCCGCAAGGGGCGCAGGGAACUGGCACUAACCGGCCGAAAACUUACAACA
rnacentral:rRNA from 1 species